AACGAACGCUGGCGGCAUGCCUAACACAUGCAAGUCGAGCGCCCCGCAAGGGGAGCGGCAGACGGGUGAGUAACGCGUGGGAACGUACCCUUUACUACGGAAUAGCUCUGGGAAACUGGAAUUAAUACCGUAUGUGCCCUUCGGGGGAAAGAUUUAUCGGUAAAGGAUCGGCCCGCGUUGGAUUAGCUAGUUAGUGGGGUAAAGGCCUACCAAGGCGACGAUCCAUAGCUGGUCUGAGAGGAUGAUCAGCCACAUUGGGACUGAGACACGGCCCAAACUCCUACGGGAGGCAGCAGUGGGGAAUAUUGGACAAUGGGCGCAAGCCUGAUCCAGCCAUGCCGCGUGAGUGAUGAAGGCCUUAGGGUUGUAAAGCUCUUUCACCGAUGAAGAUAAUGACGGUAGUCGGAGAAGAAGCCCCGGCUAACUUCGUGCCAGCAGCCGCAGUAAGAC
rnacentral:rRNA from 1 species